rnacentral:sRNA from 1 species
UUUGCGCUAGGGAUAGUAACGGAAAGCCCACAGCGAUCCCGAUAGCUAUCGGGAUUCGCGAGGACUUGCAGUGUAUAGCCCGACCCUUG